rnacentral:tRNA from 1 species
GGCUCGUUCGUUUAGCGGGAGAACGCUGGCCCUUCAAGCCGGAGAGAGGAGUUCGACUCUCCUACGAGCUA